CAGAUCUAGGAUCAAAGUUCACCUUAAAGAAUAUCUACCUCAUAUUCCCAUGAAUUAGGUAAAGCAACCAAAGGUUAGAGCAGACCAGACCACACAGCCAGCGAGGGCAGACUGGACUUCAGUUGUACAAACAGUAGUGCAAGUGUCGAGUGAAUGAGACAGACAGUGGAUGCCAGAGCCAUCACAUGGGAGAUCAGUUUCUGCGGGGGUGUGAAGUGGUGGUGAAUAGAAGGAGAGAUAAACUCAUGGAAUGAAUGAGAUGCAGUGUGCACAGGGGUCCACAGUACUCUCAGUAAAUGUUAUUAUCAUAACCAUAUUUUAACAUCCUAAGAAUACCCCCUCCUCCAGGAAGCCUCCUCUGACUGAGCCUAACAGAGGUAAGAAUUUCCCUCUUUUUGCUUCUGCUCAGCAGCUCCCAGCUCAUACUCUGUAAGCUCUCAGUUUAGGAUAGAACAGCAAUGCUGCUCUGGCCCUAGUUCUGGCCCCAACUCCAGUACCAGCUCUGGCCCCAACCCUGGAGUCCAGAGAAGUCUCGUUUGGGCAGUUGAAGUCAGAGGGUCAUUUCUGGGCCUGGGCUCCGGGUUCCAUUCAAAUGGGGGAUCCCAGAGGGUGCGGACCAUGUCCUGUAAAUUCACCCCAGUGGCUCCAGGAAGGCCCCUUGGGGUGUGAGACAUGCUGGUGGCCAGCUACCCCCAGCUGGAGUCCUCACGCUGAAGGCGAGACAGCCUCACCGGCGGUGGCACUGGCUAUGCCUGACACCCUCACCCGGGACAUCAGGCUGCCCUGCCCAGUCACCCACAGGGCUGAGGCCUCACCACAUUUGCUGCAACACCCUCUGCCCUUGGGCUCACGGCCAUCCUAUCUGCGGCAGCUGGCACACGGUGAAUGCUCAAUAAAUACUCAUUAGAUUAAUGACCAUACUCAUUUAAUCCUUACACCCACCCUUCGCUGUAGGCAGCAUCAGUUCUAUUUUGCAGAUGGGCAGACUGAGGCUCCAAGAAAAGAGGGGAAUUGGCUACUCUGCAAACCCGGUAACCAGCGAAACCUAAAUCAAACCCAGGCCUCUCACCUCUUGACCACAAGCCGGCAUGUGAUGACACCAACUGGUAGGUUCACCAUAAAGAAAGAAACAGAGGAACACACUGGCCUGCUGGCUUCUGCUCCCCUCAGGCUGCUUCCCCAGGCAGGUUGUGCAGGCUUUUGUUGGGGUAGGGGGUGGAUUUUAUUCCCUGAGUUAAGUAACCUGUGAUCAACCCCUUGUGUUAACAGCUAUCAUGUGUAGCCUCAGCCUCCUGCCUUGCCCCUGAGAGGAUCUGUGUUAAAUUGACACCAGCGAUGAACAGUGUGGCUGAGAGGCAGGGAUGGGCAAGGAGGGGCAGGAAGCAGGGGCUGGUCUGUGGCCUGUGGACGUGGAUAGAGGCUCUGCUCCAGAGCCCACCCAUGGCUCUCCCAUGUCUGGGGGAGGAACACAGCUUCAGAGCUGGAUUCCAACCUGAGUUGCAUUAUGUACAAGCUGCUGAGCCCGCUGCUUAAUCUCUCUGAGCCUCGGUUUCCUCAGCUGUGCAAUGUGGACACAAUACCCACUUUGCACGGUCCCAAUGAGGCAAGGGGUAGAAAGGGCAUGGACUGUGCCUGGCACAUGGAAGGGGUAUGACAAAUGGGGGUGGCACUUGUGGUUCAUGUCCCAUGGCCCGUGAGUGUGCCAUGACUGAUGUUUCCACUCUAGUUUCAUUUUCUAGAAAUGCAGGGUCAGUUACAAGUCAGUGAAACCAGCCUCAGCCCAGUCUCAGUCCUUUCUCUGUAUCCUGAUGGUGCCUGAAAUUCCGCCACAGGGGCAGCAUUCCCUGAAUUGAAAG
rnacentral:lncRNA from 1 species